CCUACGGGUGGCUGCAGUCGAGGAUCUUCGGCAAUGGGCGCAAGCCUGACCGAGCGACGCCGCGUGCGGGAUGAAGGCCUUCGGGUUGUAAACCGCUGUCGUAGUGGAGGAAAUGCGUUAGGGUUCUCUCUAGCGUUUGACCUAUACUAGGAGGAAGUACGGGCUAAGUUCGUGCCAGCAGCCGCGGUAAGACGAACCGUACGAACGUUAUUCGGAAUUACUGGGCUUAAAGGGUGCGUAGGCGGUGUGGAAAGUUGGGUGUGAAAUACCUCAGCUCAACUGAGGAACUGCAUUCAAAACUUCCAUGCUAGAGGAAGAUAGAGGUAAGCGGAACUUAGGGUGGAGCGGUGAAAUGCGUUGAUAUCCUAAGGAACACCGGUGGCGAAAGCGGCUUACUGGAUCUUUUCUGACGCUGAGGCACGAAAGCUAGGGUAGCGAAC
rnacentral:rRNA from 1 species